rnacentral:lncRNA from 1 species
CCCAGUUCUUGUCAAUUCCUGAAGCAGCUCUGGAAGUCGUCUUUUGUGAGUGUCUCUGUGAGUUGUGAUCAAAAAUACAGUAAAUGCUGCUGCCAAGUCCCACCCAGUGAAACCGUAGGCUUACAAACACAUCACAGUGUGAGCUUCUUCAUCUUAUUCUCUAGAUCUGGCACCGUACGAUUUCUGGUUCUUCCCCAAAGUCAAGAUGACUCUGAAAGAGACAUCAAGGUAACCACAACAGCACAACUAAAGCAAGAAGAAGCCACGAGAGCCAGAAAGGAAGAGGCUGCAGGCCCCAAGUGUGGCAGAAGUGAGAGCAGGCACACUCAGCACCCCAUGGGCACCUCAGCAAUCUGCAGGGGUGGGCAGCCAUCCACCAGCUGGACUCAGCAGACAGCUGUGCCUCUGCAGAUUGCCACACAGAGUCAUCUACCGGCCCCAGCAGCCAGGUGACACAGGCCCUGCUGAGGACAGGAGAGAGAGAAGAACCCC